rnacentral:rRNA from 1 species
ACAUGUCUAUUACGGUGAUAUUUAUAGUCUAGCCUGCUCAGUGACAUAAAAGUGUUAAAUAGCCGCGGUAUCCUGACCGUGCAAAGGUAGCAUAAUCAUUAGUUUUUUAAUUGGAAACUAGAAUGAAUGGUUGGACAAGAAAAAAACUGUCUCUUUUAUUAAAAUUGAAAUUAACUUUUAAGUGAAAAGGCUUAAAAUUUACUAAGGGGACGAUAAGACCCUAUAAAGCUUUAUAAAUUCAGAGAUUUUAGAUAUUUUAUAUAUAAAUUUAUUUUUUGAUAAUUUAUUUGGUUGGGGCGACAAGGGUAUAAUUAUAAAUAACUGCCAUUAAUGUUUAUACAUAUAUCUUUGAUUUAAAUUUAAUAUAGUAGUUGAUCCUUUUUAAGGAUUUAAAGAUCAAGUUACUUUAGGGAUAACAGCGUAAUUUCUUCUGAGAGUUCUUAUCAAAGAAGAAGUUUGCGACCUCGAUGUUGAAUUAAAAUGUCUUUAUAGUGCAGCAGCUAUAAAAGAAGGUCUGUUCGACCUUUAAUUUUUUACGU